UGGGGAAUAUUGCACAAUGGGCGCAAGCCUGAUGCAGCCAUGCCGCGUGUGUGAAGAAGGCCUUCGGGUUGUAAAGCACUUUCAGCGAGGAGGAAGGUGGUGAACUUAAUACGUUCAUCAAUUGACGUUACUCGCAGAAGAAGCACCGGCUAACUCCGUGCCAGCAGCCGCGGUAAUACGGAGGGUGCAAGCGUUAAUCGGAAUUACUGGGCGUAAAGCGCACGCAGGCGGUUUGUUAAGUCAGAUGUGAAAUCCCCGGGCUCAACCUGGGAACUGCAUUUGAAACUGGCAAGCUAGAGUCUCGUAGAGGGGGGUAGAAUUCCAGGUGUAGCGGUGAAAUGCGUAGAGAUCUGGAGGAAUACCGGUGGCGAAGGCGGCCCCCCUGGACGAAGACUGACGCUCAGGUGCGAAAGCGUGGGGCAGCAAACAGGAUUAGAUACCCUGGUAGUCCACGCUGUAAACGAUGUCGAUUUGGAGGUUGUGCCCUUGAGGCGUGGCUUCCGGAGCUAACGCGUUAAAUCGACCGCCUGGGGAGUACGGCCGCAAGGUUAAAACUCAAAGGAAUUGACGGGGUC
rnacentral:rRNA from 1 species